CCUGCCCCUUCGCUGCAUGCCCGCCCCCAGCACUCUCCAGGUCCCACCUCCUCGGAAAGGACCCUCGAAGCCCAGUCGGCCAGAACAGGUUCGUAAAACCUGGAGCCCCAGAUUGGAAGCUGCCCUCUCCAGAUUUAGGUGCUGGAAGUCUCAACAAGAACUGGGAGAAGCAGUGAAGGAGGUCCUGGGUAUCCACUCUCAGAGAAGGUCUGGUCAGAUGUGGAAGAGGCAGAGGAUUGCAGGUGGAAUGAAAGCAGGAACUGUUCAGACCCUUUCACCUAUGAGAACACCAGGCAUCUGAAAGGCGAACCAGAGAGGCUGCACAACCAGCCAGAAUGGACAUUAGGAUAGAGUGUGUCCACAGCCUGCAGUGAAACAGUCACUGACCAAGUGAGUGUUGUAGAGGGAGUCUUGCUCUGUCACCCAGGCUGGAGUGCAGUGGUGCGAUCUCAGCUCACUUCAACGUCUGCCUCCCAGGUUCAAGCGAUUCUCCUACCUCAGCCUCCCAACUGGCUAGGAUUAUGGGCACCAACUACCAUGCCUGGCUAACGGAGUUUUGCUCUUGCUGCCCAGGCUGGAGUGCAAUGGCGCGAUCUCAGCUCACCGAAGCCUUCCCUCCCAGUUCAAGUGAUUCUCUUGGCUCAGCCUCCCGAGUAGCUGGGAUUACAGGCAUGUGCCAUCAUGCCCGGCUAAUUUUGUAUUUUUAGUAGAGAUGCGGUUUCUCCGUGUUGGUCAGGCUGGUCUCAAACUCCCAACCUCAGGUGAUCCACCCACUUCGACCUCCCAAAGUGCUGAGAUUACAGCUGUGAGCCACAGCGCCUGGCCAUUUUUAUAAUCUUAGUAGAGAUGGGUUUUUGCCAUGUUGGCCAGGCUGGUCCCAAACUCCUGGCCUCAAGUGAUCCACUUGCCUUAGACUCCCAAAGUGCUGGAAUUACAGGCGUGAGCCACUGUGCCCUGUGGUCCUCCCCAGUUUUUGAGACCCACAACCUCAUAAUACUCAGAGCACCAAACCAUUCUUUGGUUCCAAAAGCUCAAAGGGUACUCAGUCCCACCACACAUUUCCAGUUUCCCAAUUGGGACAA